AUUGAACGCUGGCGGUAUGCUUAACACAUGCAAGUCGAACGGUAGCAGGCCUUCGGGCGCUGACGAGUGGCGGACGGGUGAGUAACGCGUAGGAAUCUGCCUCAUAGUGGGGGACAACGUGUGGAAACGCACGCUAAUACCGCAUACGCCCUACGGGGGAAAGCGGGGGACCUUUGGGCCUCGCGCUAUGAGAUGAGCCUGCGUUAGAUUAGCUAGUUGGUGGGGUAAAGGCCUACCAAGGCGACGAUCUAUAGCUGGUCUGAGAGGACGAUCAGCCACACUGGGACUGAGACGCGGCCCAGACUCCUACGGGAGGCAGCAGUGGGGAAUAUUGGACAAUGGGCGCAAGCCUGAUCCAGCAAUACCGCGUGUGUGAAGAAGGCCCUAGGGUUGUAAAGCACUUUCAAUAGGGAGGAAAACCUGCCGGUCAAUACCCGGUAGCUUGACAUUACCUAUACAAGAAGCACCGGCUAACUCCGUGCCAGCCGCCGCGGUAACAC
rnacentral:rRNA from 1 species